rnacentral:snRNA from 1 species
AUCACAAACAUGGCCUCGUUUGUUGUCUU